AACGAACGCUGGCGGCAUGCCUAACACAUGCAAGUCGAACGAGACCUUCGGGUCUAGUGGCGCACGGGUGCGUAACACGUGGGAAUCUGCCCUUUGCUUCGGAAUAACAGUUAGAAAUGACUGCUAAUACCGGAUGAUGUCGAAAGACCAAAGAUUUAUCGGCAAAGGAUGAGCCCGCGUAGGAUUAGGUAGUUGGUGGGGUAAAGGCCUACCAAGCCGACGAUCCUUAGCUGGUCUGAGAGGAUGAUCAGCCACACUGGGACUGAGACACGGCCCAGACGCCUCCGGGACGCAGCAGUGUGGAAUAUUGGACAAGGGUGGAAAGACUGGUCAAGCAAUGCCGGGUGAGAGAUAAAGCCCUUAGGGUUGUAAAGAUCUGUUACCAGUUAUUAGAAUGACAGUACCUGGAGAAUAUGCUCCGGCUAACUCCAUG
rnacentral:rRNA from 1 species